GGCCUGAUGGUCUAGUGGUAUGAUUGUCGCUUCGGGAGUUCCGCGCCUGAAUCUCUUAGAGAUUUACAAUGUGACAGGCCCCGGGUUCGAAUCCCGGUCAGGCCC